UACAGAGGGUGCAAGCGUUAAUCGGAUUUACUGGGCGUAAAGCGUGCGUAGGCGGUUCAUUAAGUCGGUUGUGAAAUCCCUGGGCUUAACCUGGGAACUGCAGUCGAUACUGAUGGACUAGAGUGCGGUAGAGGGUGGCGGAACUCCGGGUGUAGCGGUGAAAUGCGCAGAUAUCAGGAAGAACACCCGUGGCGAAAGCGGCUCUCUGGAACGGUACUGACGCUGAGACGCGAAAGCGUGGGGAGCGAACAGG
rnacentral:rRNA from 1 species